rnacentral:rRNA from 1 species
UACGUAGGGGGCAAGCGUUGUCCGGAAUUAUUGGGCGUAAAGCGCGCGCAGGCGGUCAUUUAAGUCUGGUGUAUAAACCAAGGGCUCAACCUUUGGACGCAUUGGAAACUGGGUGACUGGAGUGUAGGAGAGGAAAGUGGAAUUCCACGUGUAGCGGUGAAAUGCGUAGAGAUGUGGAGGAACACCAGUGGCGAAGGCGGCCUGCUGGGCUAUGGCUGACACUGAGGCGCGACAGCGUGGGGAGCAAACAGG